UUAAACUAGAACGACUAAGCCACUAGAAAAAAAAUAAUAAAAAUCAUAUUUUUCCCAAAUAUAAAUGAUGUUUACCCGAGUCUUCGAUGAAGCAACGCGUCAGGACUCUUAAUUAAACCUAGACGGGACUCAUUAAAGAUUCAUGGUAAACACAUUUAUACACUACGACUAAAAAUUAUUAAAAACUAACAUGUCUCAGGCCCCACGUUCUGGGCGCCAUUUUGUAACAACCGUGUUCAAGAAAAACGAAAUGAAAUCGCUGUGUUGACCAUUAAGUGGCGUUGCCGGUAUGCUGGCGUUUAGCGCGGCUAUGGCUCGUCGGAUUGGGGGUUGGUUCUUGCCACUUGCAGAUCUUUUCGGUUGAACAAACAAAAAAUCAUACCGGACUUCAAACUAAAUUAAAAAAAAGGGGGGUAAAAAGAAGCCUGAAACAUGUCAACAAAAAAAAUUGAAAAGAAGAAAACGUUCACCUAACUGCAACCAAAUCCCAAAAUAACAUUAGUUUUUUUUUCACAGAAACAGUGCUCCUGGCGGCUGACCAGCCAGGAGAUAGCCCUCCCUCCGAGAACACCUCUCGCCAUGACGUCUACUCAUACUGGACGUCCCAGAUCUGACCCUUGACUUACCAUAUUUUAUCCCAUCCCUACCACCUUUUUAAUAGGGCUUUAAGCCGAAGACAUUUUUAUCUUUUCAGGUUUAAUCCUGUACAUAUUUAUUAAAACUAUAUUACAUAUUUGGCAAAAAAAAACAAUUCAUUCCAUUGUAAUUUGAAUCAAAAUCUAACAAUUUACAGCGAAUUAUAAUAUAAAAAUUUCAGAAAAAAACAAAGAAUUGCCAAUAAAAAUCAAUUUUCGAAAGUAAUCUUUUCUUUUUGUACUUUUAGGGCUUAACGGCGGGCACCCAGGGUGUAGAACCUUGACGGCAGCUUGUGACUAAGGCUUUUUCCCAAAACAUGAGGACGAACAAAGGAAUGUAGGUCGAUACCACAUUACAACGACGAUCUAAACAAUGCCUGGUAACCUAACCUUGAAUUGAGCUCAGUUCAAUGUCGCGUACCUGCAUACCAACACAAA